GACGAACGCUGGCGGCGUGCCUAAUACAUGCAAGUCGAACGCAGUGGGGACGGGUGAGUAACACGUGGGUAACCUCCCAUCAGAGGGGAUAACACUUGGAAACAGGUGCUAAACCGAUACUGAUGGAGUGACCCGCUGUGCAUUAGCUAGUUGGUGAGGUUACGGCGCACCAAGCCCACGAUGCAUAGCCGACCUGAGAGUGUGUUCGUGCACCAUGGGACUUAGACACGGCCCAGACGUCUACGGGAUGCAGGAGUAGGGAAUCUGUGGCAAGGGACGGAAGUCUUAACGAGGAACGCCGCGGGAGGGAAGAAGGUUGUCGGAGCGUAAAGCUCUGUUGCUCGAGAAGUGGUAACUAACCAGAAAGGGACGGCUAACUACGUGCCAGCAGCCGCGGUAAUUC
rnacentral:rRNA from 1 species